rnacentral:lncRNA from 1 species
UGCAUUUCGGUUUCAUUUGCAUGAACAGUGAAGACCUUUUUGUGCCAGCCAGGGCUGUGAUCUUUUUACAUUUAUUGUUCUGUGCUCAGGUUAAGGAUCGAGAUGGGGCACUUCAUUCUGCCUGGGAAGAAGUCAGAUCUUUGCAAAGGGUGUUAGAGGAAGCCAUUUCUGAGCAAAGAACCCUUCAGGCUAUGAAUACGGCUUUAAUGAGCUCUUGCCAGACACUUCAGGAAAAAGAUAAAGAGCAGAAAACACCUUUGCGCCUUCAAAAGAUUUGGGGGCCAAGAAGCAGGUCAGGGCACUGGACUUCCCAAGACACCUUCCUUGAGAUACUCAUGCUGGUAUUCUACACCUCUGCUAGAUGCUCUGGCCUUGGAAAUCCUAGAGCUGAAUCCAAGAGUGUUCACAAGCAGUGGUCUCACAUGUGUAGCAACCAGAGCACUCUCUACGUUUGA